UAGCUGAACUCUGUCUUUAGUAAUGUUUUUUUUUCAAGUUCCAGUAAACAAGGCCCAACUGCACAGGGAGAUUAUUUGGAUAAUCUGUCUUGAAAGUCAACUCUUAAAACGGCGACGACGACCUCCACGUUUGUUCACGCGUUUGGGUGCCAUAGCCAACUCAGAUCCCCUUCUCACUCUGCUCUGCCGUUCAUCUGGCUGUUCCCGGUGUCGUUCUCCUCGCCGGCGAGUUGCCGGGGUCAUGCCACCAGCCACAGCCCAGCUACUCCGCGGCCGGCCGGGCGUCCUCCACGGUAGGUACAUCCCCGUAGCGCAGGCAGAUGGCUACUGCGGCUGCGUUUGCCGGGAAGGCGGUGGCGAUUCCUGCCAUCUCCUUCUUGGUUGGAAAGGCUUUCAGCUACCUCGACAAGUACCACAGAUCUGAAGGCAUGGAGGAGCUGAAGAAGCGGCUUGAGCUGGCCAUGCCAAAUAUUGAGGCCGUGUUCGACGCCGUCAACCCAGACCACGUCAGGGAGGAGAGCCCUGCCCUGGACAAAUGUCUGUGGCAGCUCAGGGCCGCCGUCGAGGAUGCUGAGAACGUUGUCGAUGAGCUCGAGUACUAUGAGCUGGAAGAGAAGGCCGAGGAACGUAAGGUUAUUGAUUGGGGCUCUUCUCUUACUAAGAUGAAGCACAAAGUUGUCAGAUCUGUUAAAAAAGUUAGUAGUUUGGACAAGACCUUGAAGAAUUUUUCUCAACGUGACACUCUCAAGAGACUGAGAAAAGUUGUGGAAGGUUUGAACAGAUCUGCUGCAGGCAUAGCCAAUUUCCUCGCUAUCGCAGACCGUCUCAAAAAAUCUGCUUCUGCCAGCCAGCAGCAAGUUGACGCAGAUCGUGAGACAAGCUCUGAAUUGAGUGUAUCUAAAUUUGUUGGGCGAGAAAGGGAGAAGGAGAAGAUCAUUGAAUGGAUAACCAAGACAUCAGUUGUGUCGGCUGAUGGUGUGACAAGAAUCAAUAGUGUACCUAUUAUUUCAGUGGUUGGUCAUGGUGGCAUGGGGAAGACUACUUUGGCUCAGAGCAUAUGUAAAGAAGAUGCAGUGCGGAAUCAUUUCAAGGUCAUCUGGGUCACGGUGUCUACCAACUUUGACGCAACAACGCUGACAAGUAAAAUGCUGGAAUCUGUUACAGGGGUAAAACCAGGUCCUGAUCAUUUGGAACCAUUGCAAAAGAAUCUCAAAGAGGAGCUCAAGUCUAUGAAGUUUUUGUUAGUUUUGGAUGAUGUGUGGGAAGAUAAGAAAGAAUCUGAAUGGGCUAAACUAUUUGCUCCUCUCAGGAGUUUGAACAGCGGAAGCAAAAUUUUGCUGACAACCAGAAUGCAAUCAGUAGUACACACGGCCACAAGCUCAAUGGGAGUUGAAGGAGGUCACUGCUUGACACUACAAGGACUAGAAGAAGAUGAAAAUAUUAAGUUGCUCAAUCACCAUGUAUUUUUCGGGCUGGAUCCGCAAGAUUGUGAACACUUCAAAUCAGCUGGAGAGCAAAUUGCAAGGAAACUAGGAGGAUGCCCCUUGGUAACAAAGGUUGUCGCUGGGCAUUUGAGAGGGAAUAUGAUGAUUGGAUACUGGAACAGGUUCUUGCAUGAAGAACUAAAACAGUUCAGUGGAACCGAAGAGGGUAUCAUGAGGGUUCUCAGAUUAAGCUACUAUAGACUACCAACGGAGCUUCAAAUUUGUUUCCGAUACUGUUGUAUAUUUCCACAGGACUACGAGUUUGAAAAGAAAGAAUUGAUCCAAAUGUGGAUGGGUUCAGGAUUGAUCUCGCAGUGUGCAAGUGAUUCACAAACUUUUGAGGAUAUUGGAGCACAAAUUUUGGUUCAGCUGAAUAAAAGUUCAUUUUUUGAUCUGAAAUCCAGACCGAAUAUUACUAACGGAAGAAAAGAAGAAUACUAUGUAAUGCAUGAUUUGAUGCAUGAUUUAGCAACAGAUGUGUCCUCGGGUGAAUGUGCAAGAGUUGCUCAUGCUUCGUUUUUUGAAGAUGAUAACCGCACUAUCAGACACAUGUGCAUUGCUAAUAUUCACAGCUUUUCUAUUGAAGAGGUCAAAAAAAUCUCCAACUUUAAGUAUUUGCGCACUAUUGUCAUUGAUCAUAGUGAUGCUGAGGUUAAAAAGGAUGUAGUUUGUGAACUUGAAAGAGUUAUUGAAAGCUUGGAGUUCUUGCGUCUCUUGCGGUCAAGACAGAAACAUUAUGAUUGUGGUUUCCACCUCACUGAAAAAUGUGGCAAAUUGAUACACCUUCGCUAUCUCAGUCUGCACCAGAUAUCUCCAGAGGGGAUAUGCGGGGUUACUAGACUGUAUCACUUGAUGCUGUUUUACUGCAAAACUGUUGGGAAUAAAGAAGGAAAAGAAAUGUCACAAAUAAGAUAUUUGGGGAACCUAGAUGGCUUGCGAUAUGUAUCAUAUGGAUUUAAUAAGAACAGCCAUGGUGAAUUUGAUCCUGUGGAAUUCUCGGUUGGCAGACUCACUCGUCUUCAGGAGUUGAAUAACUACCUGGUAAAAGAAAGCAUAGUCAGCAAAUUAAGUGAAGUCAAGAGCUUAAGAACUCUCCGCAGGCUACAAGUAUGCGGGCUUGAGAAAGUCAAGAAUCCGGAAGAAGCUAAGGAUGCCAAGCUGAAUGAAAUUAUUUCUCUCAAUUCUUUGUCACUCAGUUGGUUUGGCGAACAAAACAAUAAGGAUGCGCUAGUUCUUGAACACCUUGAGCCACAUUGUAAUGUUAUGGAAUUGGAAAUUGCUGGAUACACUGGCGUCAAACUUCCAUUUUGGAUUGAGGACCUCACUAUCAAAAACCUGGUGUCACUUGAGUUGCGUGAUUGUUUAAGCUGGGAAGGUCUUCCCUCUCUUGGAAAGCUAGUAUGGCUCAGGCAUAUUAAGUUCCAAAGACUUCUUAAGCUACAACAGAUUGGUCAUUUUUCUAGUAAUACCUCCAUGGAAUUUUUUCUACCUCCAAGGCUUGAAACUCUAGAAGUGCAUGAUUGUCCAAUGUUAAGUGAACUACCUGUUCUACCUCCAAGCUUGGUGCUAUUGAGGAUAUCAAAGGUUGGACUGACCAAACUUCCUAUGAUUGACGGUGGGAGCAGUGAGACUAAGCCAUCACAGUUAGUGAGCAUUGUCGUCGAGAGAUGUGCUCUUCUAACUUUGCUAGAAGGGAGUCUAUUGGAGCAGGAGAUGUACAUGGGAGCUCUCCAGUACUUCAAGAUCGAAAACUGUCGCAAUCUGGAGUCUGGGUCCAUUGCAUUUCAUGGAAUGAAUAGACUUGCAACACUCUGUAUCGCGGAUUGUACCAAGUUUAGCACAAUUGGAACUAUUAAAGGAGAGCUCACUUAUCUCAACCAUCUCCUCAUAAUUGAAUGCUCCGGCCUUGUAUCCCUCCCCUCAGCAGAUGUGUUCAUGAGUUUCAAAUCGCUACGGCAUAUGGUGAUAUAUAGAUGCGAGAAUCUCUUGUGCUUGGGAGGUCUCGGCUCCCUUCCAUCUCUGCAAUACUUACAAAUCGAAUGCUACAGUAAACUUGUGGAGGUUGGGUCGUCCCUGACUCCACAUGCAUCAUCUAGUGGCGAGGAAGAUCAUCUGGUGCAGAUACACAAACUUCAGGUCGAUCUCCCAUCCAUGCUGCUUGUCGAGCCACUCAAGAGACUCCAUCGAACAAUAGAGUUGGUAAUUACACAUGGGCCACAGAUGGAGAGCUUACCUGAGCAAUGGCUGAUACAGAACCGCCAAUUCCUUCGAUGCAUAAGAAUAUCAGAGGCCAAGUCCUUAAAAUCUCUCCCACUAAGCAUCCGGGAACUCUCCUCGCUGGAAGAGCUCUGUAUUAUGCAAUGCCAUUCAGAACUAUUCAAUGAGAUCAGAGAAAACAACAACUUUGAAUCAUACAUGGCACACACCCGUCGAGUGGCAAUAGGGAAUUUUCUUCCCGUUGUAAUCAAUGUUUGCUUUGUUAUCUACUGUUUGUUGCCAUAGCACUUACAAGACAAUCAACUUUUCCUGGCAAAAUUAGAUUCUACUGAAAUCAUGCAUUCAAUGCCAGUUCUGAGUGAGGAGUAUUUGCUACAUUGUGAUUUCUUUGCUCACCUAGGUCCACUUUCUGCAUUAUGUUUAAUAUUGUAAAUUCUACUUGCAUUACUUCAUGCAUGUAUGUAUUUAUUUUCAACCUCGAUGAUGGCCGACUAAAUAACUGUGACAGUACCAUACUCUCAUGUAAGGGGAGGAGGAUGGUUCUCCAUCAUGGGCAAGGAAUGCGACAUAAGGACUUACGAAAGACUAAGGUUUGAGGAUAUCGAUUUACUUACUUCCUGGGGGAACCAACCAAAUGAUGACGAGGGAGAUGAGACUCCCUCGUCAUCAUUUCCUUCAUCAGAGCCAUGGUGGAGGAAAUACCAGUGUUGUUGGAAGAAUGCUUCUUAGCCUACUGUUGCUCGGCGCCAUCUGAAAGGUCUAGUAGCGGGAUUGAUCGCCCAAGAAUGCGGCCUGCAGUAGAUCUGAGCAACGGCGAAGCCAUCCUUCUGAAUAAGUGGAUCGGGACUCUUCUUAUUUUAUCUUCUUUUAUUUACAAGUGAGAAAGGAGAUCUGGACCUUGUGUUGUUUGUGUGUACGAUGCGAACCAAAGUUUGGCGUAUAAAUAACACUGUACUACUCCCUCCGUUUCUAAAUAUAAGCGCUUUUAGAGAUUUGAAUA